rfam:Yersinia pseudotuberculosis IP 32953, complete genome.
AGGUUAAGCGACUAAGCGUACACGGUGGAUGCCUAGGCAGUCAGAGGCGAUGAAGGGCGUGCUAAUCUGCGAAAAGCGUCGGUAAGCUGAUAUGAAGCGUUAUAACCGACGAUACCCGAAUGGGGAAACCCAGUGCAAUACGUUGCACUAUCGUUAGAUGAAUACAUAGUCUAACGAGGCGAACCGGGGGAACUGAAACAUCUAAGUACCCCGAGGAAAAGAAAUCAACCGAGAUUCCCCCAGUAGCGGCGAGCGAACGGGGAGGAGCCCAGAGUCUGAAUCAGUUUGUGUGUUAGUGGAAGCGUCUGGAAAGUCGCACGGUACAGGGUGAUAGUCCCGUACACCAAAAUGCACAGGCUGUGAACUCGAUGAGUAGGGCGGGACACGUGACAUCCUGUCUGAAUAUGGGGGGACCAUCCUCCAAGGCUAAAUACUCCUGACUGACCGAUAGUGAACCAGUACCGUGAGGGAAAGGCGAAAAGAACCCCGGCGAGGGGAGUGAAAUAGAACCUGAAACCGUGUACGUACAAGCAGUGGGAGCACCUUCGUGGUGUGACUGCGUACCUUUUGUAUAAUGGGUCAGCGACUUAUAUUUUGUAGCAAGGUUAACCGAAUAGGGGAGCCGUAGGGAAACCGAGUCUUAACUGGGCGUCUAGUUGCAAGGUAUAGACCCGAAACCCGGUGAUCUAGCCAUGGGCAGGUUGAAGGUUGGGUAACACUAACUGGAGGACCGAACCGACUAAUGUUGAAAAAUUAGCGGAUGACUUGUGGCUGGGGGUGAAAGGCCAAUCAAACCGGGAGAUAGCUGGUUCUCCCCGAAAGCUAUUUAGGUAGCGCCUCGUGAACUCAUCUUCGGGGGUAGAGCACUGUUUCGGCUAGGGGGCCAUCCCGGCUUACCAAACCGAUGCAAACUCCGAAUACCGAAGAAUGUUAUCACGGGAGACACACGGCGGGUGCUAACGUCCGUCGUGAAGAGGGAAACAACCCAGACCGCCAGCUAAGGUCCCAAAGUCAUGGUUAAGUGGGAAACGAUGUGGGAAGGCACAGACAGCCAGGAUGUUGGCUUAGAAGCAGCCAUCAUUUAAAGAAAGCGUAAUAGCUCACUGGUCGAGUCGGCCUGCGCGGAAGAUGUAACGGGGCUAAACCAUGCACCGAAGCUGCGGCAGCGACACUUAGGUGUUGUUGGGUAGGGGAGCGUUCUGUAAGCCGUUGAAGGUGACCUGUGAGGGUUGCUGGAGGUAUCAGAAGUGCGAAUGCUGACAUAAGUAACGAUAAUGCGGGUGAAAAACCCGCACGCCGGAAGACCAAGGGUUCCUGUCCAACGUUAAUCGGGGCAGGGUGAGUCGACCCCUAAGGCGAGGCUGAAAAGCGUAGUCGAUGGGAAACAGGUUAAUAUUCCUGUACUUGGUGUUACUGCGAAGGGGGGACGGAGAAGGCUAGGCUGGCCGGGCGACGGUUGUCCCGGUUUAAGCGUGUAGGGGGAGUGACCAGGUAAAUCCGGUUGCUUAUCAACCCUGAGGCGUGAUGACGAUGCACUACGGUGCAGAAGCAGUUGAUGCCAUGCUUCCAGGAAAAGCCUCUAAGCAUCAGGUAACAUUAAAUCGUACCCCAAACCGACACAGGUGGUCAGGUAGAGAAUACUCAGGCGCUUGAGAGAACUCGGGUGAAGGAACUAGGCAAAAUGGUGCCGUAACUUCGGGAGAAGGCACGCUGGCGUUAGGUGAAAGGACUAGCUCCUGGAGCUGAAGCCAGUCGCAGAUACCAGCUGGCUGCAACUGUUUAAUAAAAACACAGCACUGUGCAAACACGAAAGUGGACGUAUACGGUGUGACGCCUGCCCGGUGCUGGAAGGUUAAUUGAUGGGGUCAGCCGCAAGGCGAAGCUCUUGAUCGAAGCCCCAGUAAACGGCGGCCGUAACUAUAACGGUCCUAAGGUAGCGAAAUUCCUUGUCGGGUAAGUUCCGACCUGCACGAAUGGCGUAAUGAUGGCCAGGCUGUCUCCACCCGAGACUCAGUGAAAUUGAACUCGCUGUGAAGAUGCAGUGUACCCGCGGCAAGACGGAAAGACCCCGUGAACCUUUACUAUAGCUUGACACUGAACAUUGAGCCUUGAUGUGUAGGAUAGGUGGGAGGCCUUGAAGUGUGGACGCCAGUCUGCAUGGAGCCAACCUUGAAAUACCACCCUUUAAUGUUUGAUGUUCUAACUCGGCCCCAUAAUCUGGGGUGAGGACAGUGUCUGGUGGGUAGUUUGACUGGGGCGGUCUCCUCCCAAAGAGUAACGGAGGAGCACGAAGGUUAGCUAAUCACGGUCGGACAUCGUGAGGUUAGUGCAAAGGCAUAAGCUAGCUUGACUGCGAGAGUGACGGCUCGAGCAGGUACGAAAGUAGGUCUUAGUGAUCCGGUGGUUCUGAAUGGAAGGGCCAUCGCUCAACGGAUAAAAGGUACUCCGGGGAUAACAGGCUGAUACCGCCCAAGAGUUCAUAUCGACGGCGGUGUUUGGCACCUCGAUGUCGGCUCAUCACAUCCUGGGGCUGAAGUAGGUCCCAAGGGUAUGGCUGUUCGCCAUUUAAAGUGGUACGCGAGCUGGGUUUAGAACGUCGUGAGACAGUUCGGUCCCUAUCUGCCGUGGGCGUUGGAAGAUUGAGAGGGGCUGCUCCUAGUACGAGAGGACCGGAGUGGACGAAUCACUGGUGUUCGGGUUGUCAUGCCAAUGGCAUUGCCCGGUAGCUAAAUUCGGAAGAGAUAACCGCUGAAAGCAUCUAAGCGGGAAACUUGCCUCGAGAUGAGUCUUCCCUGGGGCUUAAAGCCCCCUGAAGGAACGUUAAAGACUAUGACGUUGAUAGGCUGGGUGUGUAAGUGCAGCGAUGUAUUGAGCUAACCAGUACUAAUGAUCCGUGAGGCUUAACCU